AGUCCAUUGGUCCAAUGGUCAGGAUGCGCGACUGUCUAUCGUGCGGUGAGGGUUCGAUUCCCUUAUGGACUG
rnacentral:tRNA from 1 species